AUUGAACGCUGGCGGCAUGCCUUACACAUGCAAGUCGAACGGCAGCACGGGGCAACCUGGUGGCGAGUGGCGAACGGGUGAGUAAUGCAUCGGAACGUGCCAUUGAGUGGGGGAUAACGUAGCGAAAGUUGCGCUAAUACCGCAUAUUCUGUGAGCAGGAAAGCAGGGACCGCAAGGCCUUGCGCUCUUUGAGCGGCCGAUGUCAGAUUAGCUAGUUGGUGAGGUAACGGCUUACCAAGGCGACGAUCUGUAGCGGGUCUGAGAGGAUGAUCCGCCACACUGGAACUGAGACACGGUCCAGACUCCUACGGGAGGCAGCAGUGGGGAAUUUUGGACAAUGGGCGCAAGCCUGAUCCAGCCAUGCCGCGUGAGUG
rnacentral:rRNA from 1 species